AGUUCGGAUUGCAGGCUGCAACUCGCCUGCAUGAAGCUGGAAUUGCUAGUAAUCGCGGAUCAGCAAGCCGCGGUGAAUACGUUCCCGGGCCUUGUACACACCGCCCGUCACACCAUGAGAGUCGGGAACACCCGAAGUCCGUAGUCUAACCGCAAGGGGGGCGCGGCCGAAGGUGGGUCCGGUAAUUGGGGUGAAGUCGUAACAAGGUAGC
rnacentral:rRNA from 1 species